AUUGAACGCUGGCGGCAGGCCUAACACAUGCAAGUCGAACGAGUGGCGGACGGGUGAGUAAUGUCUGGGAAACUGCCUGAUGGAGGGGGCUAACUACUGGAAACGGUAGCUAAUACCGCAUACCAUCGGAUGUGCCCAGAUGGGAUUAGCGAGUAGGUGGGGUAACGGCUCACCUAGGCGAAGAGCCCUAGCUGGUCUGAGAGGAUGACCAGCCACACUGUAACUGAGACACGGUCCAGACUCCUACGGGAGGCAGCAGUGGGGAAUAUUGCACAAUGGGCGAAAGCCUGAUGCAGCCAUGCCGCGUGUAUGAAGAAGGCUUUCGGGUUGUAAAGUACUGUCAGCGGGGAGGCGUUACCCGCAGAAGAAGCACCGGCUAACUCCGUGCCAGCAGCCGCGGUAAUAC
rnacentral:rRNA from 1 species